CAGUAGCCGCGGUAAUACGUAGGGUGCAAGCGUUAAUCGGAAUUACUGGGCGUAAAGCGUGCGCAGGCGGUUAUAUAAGACAGAUGUGAAAUCCCCGGGCUCAACCUGGGAACUGCAUUUGUGACUGUAUAGCUAGAGUACGGCAGAGGGGGAUGGAAUUCCGCGUGUAGCAGUGAAAUGCGUAGAUAUGCGAAGGAACACCGAUGGCGAAGGCAAUCCCCUGGGCCUGUACUGACGCUCAUGCACGAAAGCGUGGGGAGCAAACAGGAUUAGAUACCCCCGUAGUCCCUGUCUCUUAUAC
rnacentral:rRNA from 1 species